UGCACUGUGUGGUAUCUGCAUUCAGCAGUUUUUUCUGCUGGGAGUUCAAAGGACAAUGUUAAUAUAAAUUCAGUAUCUGGUAUCAUUGUUUUUCUUGGCUUUGUACAUGUUAAACCUGGUAUUUUUACUGAUACAGUA
ensembl:snoRNA